UGGUUGCAAAAUGCACGUGACAGCGC
rnacentral:piRNA from 1 species